rnacentral:rRNA from 1 species
UACAGAGGGUGCGAGCGUUGUUCGGAAUUAUUGGGCGUAAAGGGCGCGUAGGCGGUGCCACAAGUCACUUGUGAAAUCCCCGGGCUUAACUCGGGGCCUGCAGGCGAAACUGUGGUGCUGGAGUAUGGGAGAGGUGCGUGGAAUUCCCGGUGUAGCGGUGAAAUGCGUAGAUAUUGGGAGGAACACCAGAUGCGAAGGCGGGUCACUGGGCUGAUACUGACGCUGAUGCGCGAAAGCCAGGGGAGCGAACGGG